UCCCUCAUAGCUCAGUUGGUAAAGAAUCUGCCUGCAAUGCAGGAGACCCUGGUUUGAUUCCUGGGUCGGGAA
rnacentral:tRNA from 1 species